CGCGGGGUGGCAGUGUGGUGUAGUGUGGUGGGCUCGUAACCAAAAGGUUGCAGGUUCAAUUCCCCACUGGGG